UCCCUCUUUCUCCCUCUUUUUUCUUCUUCAUUUUUCUUAAAGGGUGCGUAGGCGGCGCGGUAAGUCGGGUGUGAAAUCUCGGAGCUUAACUCCGAAACUGCAUUCGAUACUGCCGUGCUUGAGGACUGGAGAGGAGACUGGAAUUUACGGUGUAGCGGUGAAAUGCGUAGAUAUCGUAAGGAAGACCAGUGGCGAAGGCGGGUCUCUGGACAGUUCCUGACGCUGAGGCACGAAGGUCAGUGGAGCAAACGGG
rnacentral:rRNA from 1 species